rnacentral:misc_RNA from 1 species
AAGUCGUAACAAGGUUUUCGUAGGUGAACCUGCGGAAGGAUCAUUUUCACAACUAAACUUAUAAACCUUACGCGAACUGUCUUUCCUUCUUGGUGGAGUGGUGAGACACAUCUGGGUGAUGGCAUGGCUCUCCGGAGCUGUGAGAUUGUCUCAUCGCCUAGUAUGGUUCUUCCGGGAAUCAUACUAGACCUCUGCCCUGAAGCGUAUUCUCUUCCAUCUGCCCUAACUACCCAACCAACCUUUCUUUAAUGAACUGAUCUGAUCUCAAUUAGCUUGGCAGCACCCUUCGGGGAGCUCCGCGUUGAGAUUAUUAUAUUAAACCUGAACAACUCUUAACAACGGAUAUCUUGGUUCCC